AACACUGCAGGGACUUGGCGUAAAUUAGACAACUAACGGAGAUGCAGAAUAAAAUAACACCUCAAGUGAAGAUUUCCUUGGAAGAAUUAGCACUAGCUAUUGGAAGACAACGGUGGAUUUAAUCAAAAUAGAAGGCAUGCAAGAAUUUCACCCGUGAACGAGAAAAAGGAGCUAAUUAUAACCACCUUUUAAAUGGAGCUAAUUUGACUGAAUGGAUGCAAAUGUGCUUUACUUAUGGAUGAAGAAACAAGCCUUUCAGCAUGAUCUUGGGAUCAUUUUAUCUGCUAAGCAUUGCAGCUCCUCUGCCCUUCUACACAUUUUUAUUUCCAGAGAAGGUAUUUAUAUGUAAACAACAGCUAACCAUGCAAAAGAUUCAUCGGGACAAUAGACUACGGUGAAGUCUUCUUAUGAAGUGGAUUUGCUCCUUCAUCUUUCAGUACAUGAUGUCAGUCUCAAGCAAUAGCA
ensembl:lincRNA RIKEN cDNA 1110015O18 gene